rnacentral:rRNA from 1 species
CGAGCGGUAGCACAGAGAGCUUGCUCUCGGGUGACGAGCGGCGGACGGGUGAGUAAUGUCUGGGAAACUGCCUGAUGGAGGGGGAUAACUACUGGAAACGGUAGCUAAUACCGCAUAACGUCGCAAGACCAAAGUGGGGGACCUUCGGGCCUCAUGCCAUCAGAUGUGCCCAGAUGGGAUUAGCUAGUAGGUGGGGUAACGGCUCACCUAGGCGACGAUCCCUAGCUGGUCUGAGAGGAUGACCAGCCACACUGGAACUGAGACACGGUCCAGACUCCUACGGGAGGCAGCAGUGGGGAAUAUUGCACAAUGGGCGCAAGCCUGAUGCAGCCAUGCCGCGUGUGUGAAGAAGGCCUUCGGGUUGUAAAGCACUUUCAGCGGGGAGGAAGGCGAUAAGGUUAAUAACCUUGUCGAUUGACGUUACCCGCAGAAGAAGCACCGGCUAACUCCGUGCCAGCAGCCGCGGUAAUACGGAGGGUGCAAGCGUUAAUCGGAAUUACUGGGCGUAAAGCGCACGCAGGCGGUCUGUCAAGUCGGAUGUGAAAUCCCCGGGCUCAACCUGGGAACUGCAUUCGAAACUGGCAGGCUAGAGUCUUGUAGAGGGGGGUAGAAUUCCAGGUGUAGCGGUGAAAUGCGUAGAGAUCUGGAGGAAUACCGGUGGCGAAGGCGGCCCCCUGGACAAAGACUGACGCUCAGGUGCGAAAGCGUGGGGAGCAAACAGGAUUAGAUACCCUGGUAGUCCACGCCGUAAACGAUGUCGAUUUGGAGGUUGUGCCCUUGAGGCGUGGCUUCCGGAGCUAACGCGUUAAAUCGACCGCCUGGGGAGUACGGCCGCAAGGUUAAAACUCAAAUGAAUUGACGGGGGCCCGCACAAGCGGUGGAGCAUGUGGUUUAAUUCGAUGCAACGCGAAGAACCUUACCUGGUCUUGACAUCCACAGAACUUAGCAGAGAUGCUUGGUGCCUUCGGGAACUGUGAGACAGGUGCUGCAUGGCUGUCGUCAGCUCGUGUUGUGAAAUGUUGGGUUAAGUCCCGCAACGAGCGCAACCCUUAUCCUUUGUUGCCAGCGGUCCGGCCGGGAACUCAAAGGAGACUGCCAGUGAUAAACUGGAGGAAGGUGGGGAUGACGUCAAGUCAUCAUGGCCCUUACGACCAGGGCUACACACGUGCUACAAUGGCAUAUACAAAGAGAAGCGACCUCGCGAGAGCAAGCGGACCUCAUAAAGUAUGUCGUAGUCCGGAUUGGAGUCUGCAACUCGACUCCAUGAAGUCGGAAUCGCUAGUAAUCGUAGAUCAGAAUGCUACGGUGAAUACGUUCCCGGGCCUUGUACACACCGCCCGUCACACCAUGGGAGUGGGUUGCAAAAGAAGUAGGUAGCUUAACCUUCGGGAGGGCGCUUA